rnacentral:rRNA from 1 species
AGUGAACGCUGGCGGUAGGCCUAACACAUGCAAGUCGAACGGCAGCACAGUAAGAGCUUGCUCUUACGGGUGGCGAGUGGCGGACGGGUGAGGAAUACAUCGGAAUCUACUUUUUCGUGGGGGAUAACGUAGGGAAACUUACGCUAAUACCGCAUACGACCUACGGGUGAAAGCAGGGGAUCUUCGGACCUUGCGCGAUUGAAUGAGUCGAUGUCGGAUUAGCUAGUUGGCGGGGUAAAGGCCCACCAAGGCGACGAUCCGUAGCUGGUCUGAGAGGAUGAUCAGCCACACUGGAACUGAGACACGGUCCAGACUCCUACGGGAGGCAGCAGUGGGGAAUAUUGGACAAUGGGCGCAAGCCUGAUCCAGCCAUACCGCGUGGGUGAAGAAGGCCUUCGGGUUGUAAAGCCCUUUUGUUGGGAAAGAAAAGCAGUAGGUUAAUACCCCGCUGUUCUGACGGUACCCAAAGAAUAAGCACCGGCUAACUUCGUG